rnacentral:rRNA from 1 species
UACGUAGGGUGCAAGCGUUAAUCGGAAUUACUGGGCGUAAAGCGUGCGCAGGCGGUUGUGCAAGACCGAUGUGAAAUCCCCGGGCUUAACCUGGGAAUGGCAUUGGUGACUGCACGGCUAGAGUGUGGCAGAGGGGGGUAGAAUUCCACGUGUAGCAGUGAAAUGCGUAGAGAUGUGGAGGAAUACCGAUGGCGAAGGCAGCCCCCUGGGAUAACACUGACGCUCAUGCACGAAAGCGUGGGGAGCAAACAGG